ensembl:lncRNA
UGCUCGUGAGGCUGCAGAUGGCACUGCUUCAGACAGCUCCAUCGCUUGUGGACGGGCAAAGAUUGCUCCAAGAGGCGGUGUCACAACGGGAUUGGCAAAGAAUGAUGGAGAGACAGAAUAGGCCCGAGUUGCUACAGCAAUCUGUUGAAAUGCUGUGGAAAAAGCGGUGUUGCAAGUCAGACAGAGUCUGUUUGCAGUUGAGUCUGGUUUGAGAGCAUAGCAUGAAACAAAAUGGCAAACCCUUGUGUCAGUAGGAAAAAGAAAACGCUGUCAUGAAUGAGUGGUGAGGAGGAGGCCCAGAGCUGCUGAUGUUGAUGCAAGUUUCAUGAGUGCUUUUACUGAGCUGCAAGAGGAACCACAGUGACCAGGGGUCUGAAUUCUCUGCGUCCGGUUUGGAAUUGAAGCAGUAGUUGUUGAGACAAAAUUAUUUACAGCACGAAGCCUGUUGCCUGCAGGGAAAAAUGCCGUUGUGCUUACCCAGCCUAAGGUACCUGAGCAGUCUUCUCCUUUCCCGCCAUUUCACCCCAGGGUCAGUAAGACAGCUGAAUGAAAGAUACUUAAAGACAGAAUAGGAAGGAAAUCCCUCCUUACUUAAAGCAGUCAAACUACAAAACAUCUUGCCACAGGUGUUGUUUGUUAUUGUUGUAUACUGUAUUGUUGCCAUUAGUCAUUGGAGCACCUUGAAGGUCACUCUGAGACCAGGCCCUAGUCCUAGGCUGGAAACAGGGUCAGCCCCUGUGAAGAUGGGACAUUUCCUAUCUGGUUGUGUGUCGGGAUGAGUCCUCGCUACAGGACUUCUCCCAGAGAUGAUCACAGAAUUGGGUGUUGGGUGGCAGGGAACUACUAGGGCUGGGUUGGCUGGAGAGAAGGCUUCAGAGCAGUGAGAGCUUGUGCCAUGCUAAUGGGAAAGUGAAACUGAAGCCAUGAAGAAAGAGGUGAAGUGUAAUCAUUGCUUGCGGACCAGAUCUUGCAGGGUAAGGAUGUGCCCCAUGAAAAACGUUAGGGGUUGCCACCAGCAGCUGGCAGACAAAAAGCAGCAAAUGGCUAGCUAUGGAAUCAGAGAGGAUACUGUGUGCAAAGGAUGUCUCAAACUAACACCCUGCUUUUAAACAGAAGGGUUGAAAAAAAGGCUGUGGAUGGAAUGAAGCUGUGAUCAUAACAUAGUUGAGGGAUGGAUGGCUCCUCAAGCACACGGUGACAUUGCUGUGGAUGGUUGUGACAAAUUGAGAAGACAGAGAAAGAAAAUUCUUGGAUCAGAAGGCUGAUGUGAAAGAGCUACCUGAAGUUGAAAUAACAACACAACAGAGAAGAGAUUACAUCAGGCUACGUCGGGAGGAUGGAGAUAGCGUGGAUUGCAAGCAGCAGCAAUACAGCAGAGAUUACCCACCUCCAUGAGUGUGUUCUCCUCCCUUUCUUGGGUUUGAUCCAGGGUGAGAACUGUGAGAAAAGCUAGAUACUGUACAGGAUUUUCAGGUCAGGGUAUAUUUGUGUUUGUAAGUCUAGCUGCAGUGCUUGAUGGCAGAAAGCUGAAGUGUGAUUAAGAAUCUCUCUCUUGUCUCAUUUUUUAAUGUAGUCUUAUUCUUUGAGCCAAAAUGAGUUGGGUUUUGGCAUCAUUUGGGAUCAUUUUGGACUUCAACCACAAACAAUGUUUGGAUUCAGUUUUGACCCACAUCGUUUUAUGUACUCUGAAGCUUCUCCUGUUCACUUGCAACUCCUAACAAGAACAAGUA